rnacentral:rRNA from 1 species
UACGUAGGGGGCAAGCGUUGUCCGGAUUUAUUGGGCGUAAAGAGCGUGUAGGCGGCUAGGUAGGUCCGUUGUGAAAACUCGAGGCUCAACCUCGAGACGCCGGUGGAAACCAUCUAGCUAGAGUCCGGAAGAGGAGAGUGGAAUUCCUGGUGUAGCGGUGAAAUGCGCUGAUAUCAGGAAGAACACCCGUGGCGAAGGCGGCUCUCUGGGACGUGACUGACGCUGAGACGCGAAAGCGUGGGGAGCGAACAGG